GACCUUUCUCGGUCUUUUGACUAAGAUCAAGUGUAGUAUUUUGUUCUUAUUAAUUAAUAUUUGAUACGUGAGCCAUCGGCUCACACGAUAUUAAAUUAAUUUUUUUAAUGAGAAACUUCCCUUCACAGCAGCAAACUGCUGGGUUCUCACGCAUCGCCCUUAUGUGCACUACUGCAAUUGCGUGCGCAUCCCCA